CAAAUCUUUGCGAGUGCUGCGUUGUGCCUAUGGUGCGACGCUGGCUGCUCACAACAUUAGCACAGGGCCGCAAGGCUCUGAUGUUUACGCUUGUUUGUUUGACAGAGUUAGUUGAGACUAAAUAAAGA
rnacentral:misc_RNA from 1 species